rnacentral:rRNA from 1 species
CGGCGGACGGGUGAGUAACACGUGGAUAACCUACCUAUAAGACUGGGAUAACUUCGGGAAACCGGAGCUAAUACCGGAUAAUAUAUUGAACCGCAUGGUUCAAUAGUGAAAGACGGUUUUGCUGCCACUUAUAGAUGGAUCCGCGCCGCAUUAGCUAGUUGGUAAGGUAACGGCUUACCAAGGCAACGAUGCGUAGCCGACCUGAGAGGGUGAUCGGCCACACUGGAACUGAGACACGGUCCAG